UGCUAUAUCCUGUACAUCCUUUUGACAGGAAGCAUCACACAACCUGGAUUCUAUGAAGCCCGCUACUUUAUUGACCCAAAUGACCAGAUAAAAGAUACUUUUAUAUCCUUUAAAGGUUGGAGCAAAGGGAUUGCUUUUGUCAACAGCUUCAAUAUUGGAAGAUUUUGGCCAUCCUUGGGGCCCCAAUGCACUCUUUAUGUUCCAGCGCCAAUCCUUCACUAUGGGGAAAAUGUUGUGGUAAUAUUCGAGCUUCAUACUUCCAACCCAAACCUGACGAUUGAGUUCGUUCAGCAGCCGGAUUUUACAUGCGGUCAAAUAGCACAGUGAUUAUGAUAUUCAGGAGAGAGGGUUCUCCAACUUGCUGGGAGCAAAAGCAGAGAACUAUAGUGAAAUUCCAAAAUAGAGGAUUUGGAGAGUACACGUAAGCUUGUUAGCCAAACCACUAUAAAUCAAUUUGUGUACUUUAUCUUUGCUUUUGUAUUUUGCACUUUAUUUGUAUUUUCUUUCACUACUAUUUUAUGUAUGGUUAUGUGUAGUGGUUAUAUCAUUAAAGGAAUGAAAAUCUGAGUUUCUCUUGAACUUGCCAAAUAAUGCUAAGUUCUUUAAAAAAAAUCAUUUUAAACUCUUGGUGCAUAAUUUUUGAAAAAAGAUUUCUGAUAUAUUUGCUAAAAUGAAAUAGAAUUGUAUUUUAUACUUCUCAAAGAGAAUUUAAAAUUGGUAUUUAAAGCUUCUGCAAAGUAAUUCACCCCCAUCUUGAUGUGUAGUACACUUUCACCAAAAUUUUCUAUUGCACUUCAGACUCAGACCAGACUACUUUUAUUAUCAUUAGAUUUAUCUUGUCGAGAUAUUCAAUUUAACUAUAAAUUUGCUGAAAUAAGAGUUUAGAUGAUCCUAAAUUUAAUUAUGAAAAUUUAUAAUUUAAAUAUGCAUCAUGAUUUAUACCUGAUCAAGUCAAUUUUGAUGAUAUAUCAUAAAUAUAUUCCAUAUUUUCAUUUCAUGGGCACAAACUAAUUACAAAUAUAUGGAGGGUACAAGACAAGUUAUACACAUAAAAUGAGCAUAAGGCCAGUUACAAAUAUUAAAUUUAUAUGAAUUUGAAGAAAUUCAUCAUAAUUACGCCCACACCAUCUCUUGUUAGGUGUAACCAGUGAAAGAAUUAAGAUUUAAAAUUAAAAAGAGAAGAAUAGAUUACCCCAAAUCAAGGGAGACAAAGCUUCUAUAAUAUAUAUAAUUCUAAGAAAAUUUAAGGAUAAAAUUUCAUAUCAUACGUAGCUAUAUGUAACUAUACUCAAAUGUAGAAGAGAGCCACCUAAAUCCCUCCGAUUGCACCACUGGAUAUGACUCCUAUUGCUCAGUGCUAAGCAAAACCUAAACCGUCAGCAUUUUCAAUGUACAGAAAAGAAAUUUAUAAUGAAUAGCAUCAACCAUUUAAAUGUAAGCAGUGCACAUCUUCAAUGGAGUAUGGAAGAUAAAGUUGUUAUGGUUCUAAAAAGAAGCAAUCAUAAAAGGUACAAAAUCAAAUUUUAAGA